CCAUUUUUUACUGACUGAUUCGUCAUUCCAUGCGUAUUAUUGUCUUGUCUUGUUUGUGUAUUUGUGUUUUAAAAUAUAUCUGUGAACAGUUGCAGCAUUAAGAGUGAUCACGAGUUGCUAAACGGGUAUUGUUGGGACCUUGAUCUCAGUUCAGCCCUGGUUUCUCUGUUUCGUUGCAAUUGUACAUGACUCGUUCUUUGAUAAGAAUUUAAGGAGCCGACCCAUCCAUUUCGCCCAGGCGAUCCUGUUGUGGUUCGACAGCUCCAUCGCUAUCGAAAAGGGGGAUUCCCAUUUGGCCCACGAGUCACAGUGAUUGCCAUCACAUGGACAGCAGUCCUCACCGAUGCCAGCGACCAUUGGAUCCACGCUUCACGAGUGAAACUCGCGCCAACACUUCCAACGCCGGAACUGAGUAAAGCUGACAACACGGAACAUGACACCACCACUAAAUCCGUCACAGAAGGACCCGAAGAUGAUGUCUCAGGACCUAACACCCCUACCACCGGUGAUGAUGAGGAAGUCCACAUAAUAUGCACUAUGGUGCAUAAUUGGCACUUUCCUUUCUCUGUUACGCAAACCCUCACAGCCCUUUGGGAUCAGUUUGUUAUCAGUUUUUCAAGAGAAAUACAACACUCCAUCGCCAUGAACGAUCAAACCCUAUCACCACCUUAGGAGGUCAGUCUACUAAUGAACACAAGUUGCAAUCAAACAAAGUGAUGGCACUACCACCUUCUGGUAUAACUCCAUUGGCAAAAAAUCUUAGCUCAGAUCGGUGUCACCUUAUUGAUUGUCUUAAUUUUUGUUUAAUUUCUUUUCUGCUGUAUAAUUCCCUAUAUCAGGAAAUUAACUUCAUCUUUAAUUACUUCUUCUGAGGGCUGGCAACUUAAGCUUAUUCAUGCUGCUCGGGUAUAGUCACUUAUGUGACUAAAAGGGGGAUUGAAAGGGAUUGCAAGGGGCUAAUGUAUUUUCCUGCUUGAACACUUGAUUGCACAAGCAUGCUUCUUAUCACAUACACACCAGCUGUAGACUGUGUAAACGUACUAUAGCCACUCAGCUGUUCAAAUAUUACCAAAUAUAAGGUAAUCACAUUGUGUAUGUCAUCACAAUUGAAUCUCUUUGUUUACUAUGCUAUAUAAGUUGUAGUACUACCCAUAAUAAACUGAACUUGUUUUGCAACA